UACGAAGGGGGCUAGCGUUGCUCGGAAUGACUGGGCGUAAAGGGCGCGUAGGCGGUUCAUAGAGUUGGACGUGAAAUUCCUGGGCUUAACCUGGGGGCUGCGUUCAAUACCUGUGGACUAGAGUGGGGAAGAGGGUCGUGGAAUUCCCAGUGUAGAGGUGAAAUUCGUAGAUAUUGGGAAGAACACCGGUGGCGUAGGCGGCGACCUGGUCCUUUACUGACGCUGAGGCGCGAAAGCGUGGGGAGCAAACAGG
rnacentral:rRNA from 1 species